AUAGCUUCAACAUCAUUGUCACCUGGGCAUAUGUGAGGAUUCUCAAGAAGAGAGCAAUAUAUAAUAUGAGGAUUGAAUAAUCCUCCAGCAAAGGAUGCAGAAAAUAAAUGCACAUGAAGUAUGUAAGAAGGAAUAUUUUUGGUGCCAAUGAGAAGAAGAUUUUGGAUGAACCUUCAAAUGACAUUGCCAGCAUUGGUGAUCUUGACUACAUGUGUAUGCUUUCUCUGCCACCAACCACACCACAUUGGCGCUCAUACCUCCAA
rnacentral:lncRNA from 1 species